rnacentral:tRNA from 1 species
UGGUGCGCUGGUCGACGGCGACGGUCGUGGCGCCGCCGGCGUGGCGCACGGUGUAGGGGGCGUCGGGGGCGCGGUUGUCGUGCGCGGUGUACCAG